ACAAGCAGCGGGCGUGUGGUUUAAUUCGAUGCUACACGAAGAACCGUUACCAGGGUUUGACAUACAAGUAGUAGGGAAAGGAAACUGGACCGACCCUUCGGGGAGCUUGUACAGGUGCUGCAUGGCUGUCGUCAGCUCGUGUCGUGAGAUGUUGGGUUAAGUCCCGCAACGAGCGCAACCCUUGUCAUUAGUUGCCAUCAUUUGGUUGGGCACUCUAAUGAGACUGCCGGUGACAAACCGGAGGAAGGUGGGGAUGACGUCAAGUCCUCAUGGCCCUUAUGGGUAGGGCUUCACACGUCAUACAAUGGUCGGUACAGAGGGUUGCCAACCCGCGAGGGGGAGCUAAUCCCACAAAGCCGAUCGUAGUCCGGAUCGCAGUCUGCAACUCGACUGCGUGAAGUCGGAAUCGCUAGUAAUCGUGGAUCAGCAUGUCACGGUGAAUACGUUCCCGGGUCUU
rnacentral:rRNA from 1 species